rnacentral:rRNA from 1 species
AUGAACGCUGGCGGCGUGCCUAAUACAUGCAAGUCGAGCGAACAGAUGAGGAGCUUGCUCCUCUGACGUUAGCGGCGGACGGGUGAGUAACACGUGGAUAACCUACCUAUAAGACUGGGAUAACUUCGGGAAACCGGAGCUAAUACCGGAUAAUAUAUUGAACCGCAUGGUUCAAUAGUGAAAGACGGUUUUGCUGUCACUUAUAGAUGGAUCCGCGCCGCAUUAGCUAGUUGGUAAGGUAACGGCUUACCAAGGCGACGAUGCGUAGCCGACCUGAGAGGGUGAUCGGCCACACUGGAACUGAGACACGGUCCAGACUCCUACGGGAGGCAGCAGUAGGGAAUCUUCCGCAAUGGGCGAAAGCUUGACGGAGCAACGCCGCGUGAGUGUUGAAGGUCUUCGGAUCGUAAAACUCUGUUAUUAGGGAAGAACAAAUGUGUAAGUAACUAUGCACGUCUUGACGGUACCUAAUCAGAAAGCCACGGCUAACUACGUG